GAAUCUGCUGGCCUGCUGGGCACUGGUCUGCUGCUAUUGGGCUGAAGCUGCUAGACUGCUGAACUGGGCCUGCUGCUGGACUGCUGCACUGGGCCUGCUGCUGGACUGCUUCUUUCUUCUUUUUUUCUGCUUCUUUCUUUCUUUUUUUCUGCUGCUUCUUUUUGGGCUGGCCUACUACUGCUGGGCCUGUUGGGUCGGGUCGCGGGUUGAAUCCGGGUCGGGUCGACCCGAUAUAUUAUUUUUUAUUUUUCUUUCCCCUUUUUUCUUUCCUUUUUUUUCUUCUUUCUUCUCUGUUUCUUCUUUCUUUCUUCUUUUCUUUUUUCUUUCUUCUCCGUUCAGCCCCGACGGUGCACCCCCCAGCCUGGCACGGCGAUCAGCGGUGGCGCACGGUGAAGCUCUCCUCUUCUCUUCUCUCUUUCUUCUUUGCUUGUUUUUUUUUCUUUUUGCUUGUUGUUUUUUUCUUUGACUUUGCUUUUUUUUUUAUUGGCUUUCUUUGUCUUUGGUGGAUGGGGGAACGACAGCCGGUGGUGAGGGACGGCGGUGGACCCGGAGGCGUGGGGCUUUUUGCUGCUGUUUUUUGCUUGAUUUUUGCUUGAUUUUGUUGUUUUUUUUUUUUGCUUUCCUUGGCUGCCGGAAAUCCCAUCUUCUUCAUUUCAUCUCCCUCUUUUAAAUCCUUUCAAUUUUGUCUUCAGGUUGCAGGAGAGCCAUCAUGGCCUAGGGAGGCUGCUGGAGUAGCGGCUGGGGAGGGGUACGCUUGGCUGCUAUUGCGGUGAUUUGACAAGUCCAGGAGGACCAAAUUGCAUAGGAUGCAAAGCUUCUGGGGCAAAGUGCAAUUUUAGCAAAAAUAUGGGCCAAAUGUAAUUUCUUGAAAGUUUAGGGGUUAAAGUGGCAUUUUGAGAAAGUUUAAAGGUUGAAAUGUAAUUUUAGAAAAGUUUGGGGUCAAAAUGUAAAUUUCGAAAAGUACAAGGGUCAAAAUGUAAAUUUCAAAAAGUACAGGGGUCAAAAUGCAAUUUUUUUUAAUUUUUUUUAACACGAAAUUAUUCCCGGACAAAAUUCAGUGAUUACAGCUACCCCUUUUUGCUCAUCGCUGUGAAACAGGGAUAGAGCCAAGACUUAAAAGCACUGAAUUUUGUUCGACUGUCCAAAAUUUUCUUUUUACUUGAAAAACAGAAAUUGAAAAUACCUCAGCGUGUGGCCCGAGGCUCAACUCACCUCUAGCAAUAUGAGUUGAUUUUUGAAAAACAGAAAUUUAAAAGAAAUACCUCGGCAUGGUCCGAGGCUCAACUCACCUCUGUAUUAUGAGUUGAUUUUAAAAAAAAGACAUAAAUUAAAAAUACCUUACCGUGAC
rnacentral:lncRNA from 1 species